AGAUUGAACGCUGGCGGCAGGCCUAACACAUGCAAGUCGAGCGGUAGAGAGGUGCUUGCACCUCUUGAGAGCGGCGGACGGGUGAGUAAAGCCUAGGAAUCUGCCUGGUAGUGGGGGAUAACGCUCGGAAACGGACGCUAAUACCGCAUACGUCCGUACGGGAGAAAGCAGGGGACCUUCGGGCCUUGCGCUAUCAGAUGAGCCUAGGUCGGAUUAGCUUA
rnacentral:rRNA from 1 species